rnacentral:rRNA from 1 species
CCUACGGGUGGCAGCAGUGAGGAAUAUUGGUCAAUGGGCGCGAGCCUGAACCAGCCAAGUAGCGUGAAGGAUGACUGCCCUACGGGUUGUAAACCUCUUUUAUAAAGGAAUAACGUGAGCCACGUGUGCCUUUCUGUAUGUACUUUAUGAAUAAGGAUCGGCUAACUCCGUGCCAGCAGCCGCGGUAAUACGGAGGGCCCGAGCGUUAUCCGGAUUUAUUGGGUUUAAAGGGAGCGUAGAUGGGUCGUUAAGUCAGUUGUGAAAGUUUGCGGCUCAACCGUAAAAUUGCAAUUGAUACUGGCAGCCUUGAGUACAGUGGAGGUAGGCGGAAUUCGUGGUGUAGCGGUGAAAUGCAUAGAUAUCACGAAGAACCCCGAUUGCGAAGGCAGCUUACUAAACUGCCACUGACAUUGAGGCUCGAAGGUGUGGGUAUCAAACAGGAUUAGAUACCCGAGUAGUC